UACGUAGGAGGCAAGCGUUGUCCGGAAUUACUGGGCGUAAAGCGUGCGUAGGUGGUUUGUUAAGUCUGCUGUGAAAGCCCCGGGCUCAACCUGGGAAUGGCAGUUGAUACUGGCAAGCUAGAGUGCGGUAGAGGGGUGUGGAAUUCCCGGUGUAGCGGUGAAAUGCGUAGAGAUCGGGAGGAACACCAGUGGCGAAGGCGGCACCCUGGACCAGCACUGACACUGAGGCACGAAAGCGUGGGGAGCAAACAGG
rnacentral:rRNA from 1 species